rnacentral:rRNA from 1 species
CAGAGGCCUCGAGCGUUAGGCGGAAUCACUGGGCUUAAAGCGUGUGUAGGUGGAUGCCUAAGUGCCUUGUGAAAUCCCACGGCUUAACCGUGGAAUUGCUGGGCAUACUGGGUGUCUUGAGCCACUCAGGGGCUACCGGAACAAAUGGUGGAGCGGUGAAAUGCGUAGAUAUCAUUUGGAACGCCAAUGGUGAAAACAGGUAGCUGGGGGUGUGCUGACACUGAGACACGAAAGCCAGGGGAGCAAACGGGAUUAGAUACCCCGGUAGUCCUGGCCCUAAACGAUGUCCACUAGAUCGUGGCGGUUCUAACGCCGUCAUGGUCGAAGCAAAAGUGCUAAGUGGACCGCCUGGGAGUACGGUCGCAAGGCUA